rnacentral:rRNA from 1 species
UACAGAGGUCUCAAGCGUUGUUCGGAUUCAUUGGGCGUAAAGGGUGCGUAGGUGGCGCCGUAAGUCGGGUGUGAAAUUUCGGAGCUUAACUCCGAAACUGCAUUCGAUACUGCGGUGCUUGAGGACUGGAGAGGAGACUGGAAUUCAUGGUGUAGCAGUGAAAUGCGUAGAGAUCAUGAGGAAGACCAGUGGCGAAGGCGGGUCUCUGGACAGUUCCUGACGCUGAGGCACGAAAGCCAGGGGAGCAAACGGG